GAUGAACGCUGGCGGCGUGCCUAACACAUGCAAGUCGAACGGAGCUGCUUUGAUGAAGUUUUCGGAUGGAUUUAAAACAGCUUAGUGGCGGACGGGUGAGUAACGCGUGGGUAACCUGCCUCACACUGGGGGAUAACAGUUAGAAAUAGCUGCUAAUACCGCAUAAGCGCACAGUUCCGCAUGGAACAGUGUGAAAAACUCCGGUGGUGUGAGAUGGACCCGCGUCUGAUUAGCCAGUUGGCGGGGUAACGGCCCACCAAAGCGACGAUCAGUAGCCGGCCUGAGAGGGUGAACGGCCACAUUGGGACUGAGACACGGCCCAAACUCCUACGGGAGGCAGCAGUGGGGAAUAUUGCACAAUGGGGGAAACCCUGAUGCAGCGACGCCGCGUGAGUGAAGAAGUAUUUCGGUAUGUAAAGCUCUAUCAGCAGGGAAGAAAGUGACGGUACCUGAAUAAGAAGCCCCGGCUAACUACGUGCCAGCCGCCGCGGUAA
rnacentral:rRNA from 1 species